UAACUCCGUGUUGGUUGAAACAAAAUCAAUAUAAUAUGGGUUUUUGUUCAAUCUUACCGGGUAUGAAUAUAUACAUUUAUAGGUAUAUAGGUACCUACUUUGUGAAAUUCGGAUAAGUCUCUCAAAAGCCAUUGGAAGCAGUCGUCUCACACUUGACGCAAAAUAUUCAUUUUGUAUAUAAAAGAACACGCUAAGUGAUGGCUGAAGGAACUUCACGAGUUGUUUCUUGGCGUGUAUUUCUUUAUCAUCAUCACAGAACGGGGGGCCGCGCAGUGUGAUGGAAACUAAUAAUUUCCGCUUGAUGGCGUCUCGCAGUGGUGAAGAAAAAAAAGAAUAAAGUGAACAAGGAGCAAAUCCACUUUACACGGUGUGUGACGGGUCAAAUGCGAGAGUGACACGACAUGAGUGAGAGAGAAAAGUGAUUUUCAAGUCUUCGGCGAAUUCCAAGCGAUCAAGCUGAGUUAAUUUGUAAAACAAAAACAACAACGUGUACAAGAGAGCGACGGGGCGAAGCGAGGACUGCGAGAAAAAGAAAUAAAUAAAACUAAUAAAAAAUUCCCUGCCAUUAGUGUUCGAAACGAGUGUGGUGUGCAGUGCUAUACGAUAGCAUAGCGUAGCUAUAUACAUUGCGCUGCCACUAGAGUUAUGGUGAGGCUAUAUAGCCCAGCAAAAUAUGGUAGAGAAGCAUUGAUGCUGAUGAUGGUGAAAAAAAAAAUAAUCCAUUAAAAAUUCGCCGACUGAUUGGUUGAUGCUGUGUGAAUCGCUUAAACUGGGCGUUGCAUUUUUUCUCAUUCGCUGCCUUGGUGCGCUCACAGCUCAGCAUUGGCUGAGAACAACUCAAGUUACUUCCAUGAGCAGACUACUUGCUCCACGUGGAGUAAAUCAGCAGUGGCGCGACCUUUUUUUUGUCGUGUACACUCAUCGUGUUUCUUUCCCACUAUUCCUGUUUGCCAUGUUUUCUCUUUCUCGCUUUCUGUGUGUACACUCUCUUGUGUUAUUUUCUUGUGAGUACAACCACGCCAUCAACGACUUGUCUUUUAUAACCUCAAACAGCGACAGAGGCGAGUCAGGCAUGGAGGACGGGGUGAUAUAAAAAAGAAGAAGAGAAGAAAAAAAAGAACACACAGCUUAGCAUAUAGGCGAGGAAGAACGCAAAGACGACAGAGGAGAGGACGGUUAAAAAAAAACGAGGAAUUCAAAAGAAGGCUUGGUGAGCCGAGAGCGAACUCAUCCAUAAACAUGGUGAGAAGAGGAAAACAACAAGAAAGCCACCAAAUCUGACGAAGAGUCCACUGAAAAAUGUGAAUUGUGCUAUGAGGAAAAAAGAGCACACUCACUUAAUUUGACUUGUUCAGAACUUUAUAAACUUGUUCAAUAAGUCAAGAAGAGAUUCAGCCUUGUCGCUCUUGCUGUGUGUAACUCCUAUGUUGAUGGCGUGGGUAGCUGCUGAUGAGGAGUAACUUUGCUUCGUUCGAUCCUUCACACCUCGUAAAAAAAGCAACAUAUACCCACACCAGCGGUGUAUAAUAUGUAUAUAAUUUAAAAAGUCUGUUGGACGUUAUUGAUGAGCAAUAUGCUAAAAUGAUCUAUUGUUAGUUUGCCAAUUUGGAAAAAUGACGGCGAAUUAUUUACCUCCCAUUGGUUUGGUGUGUGAAAUAAUCACAAAUUCUUAACGAUAUCAUGAAAGUCUUAGAUUAGUCCAAUUUUCAGAUUUCAAAAUCUGCUUUAGGCGAAGAACAUUAUCGAUUCGGCUCUAGAAGGAUCAAAUUUUUCUUUUAUAAAAACGUCUCAUUGCUACAAUUGCUGCAAUGCAACUAAAGUGUCAAACUUCACUCGAGAAUAAACAAAAAUAUCGAUAUGUAGCUAACUUCAUGCUCUUAAAAUGAUAAUCAGCAAACUUCAAAUUGCAAAGCAAAAAGGUACAAGAAUUUAACAUAUUUUUCAGAAACUUAUUUUUCUAAACAAAUUCUAUAGGAAUACAAAUUAUUUUAUAUGUAUAAAAUCUCUGAGAAAACAUAGUUUAUUUAUGUUCUUAUUUUCUUUACCUCUUUAUCUUUUUUUAUAUAUUCAUUCAAACAGCGAUGAUCCCGCGUUUCUCCAGUAACAAUCAACACCGCAUUCCAUACGAUGAAUAAUAAAUAUUUGUGGUUGGAUUCUCAACUAAUUAAUGGUAGCAUCAUUAAAAUGUAUAUAGCGACGUAACCACAUUAACAUCUGAACUUGAAUUUCCAUGACGAGAAGUGGACUUUUUAAUUUAAAAGCAACACUCAGCAUUUUUUUGUGCAUCAUAAAACUAUUGCAUUAUUUAAUUCUAUUGGAUGAUGUUAAAUUAUUUACUCAUCAGUACAAAAAACCACGCACGUGUAUGGCAUAUUGAAUUAGUUUUUAGAAUAUAUAAGAAAUAAAUAUUGAAUAUUUUAUAAUGCCACGGAAACUUUGUAUAUAUCAACAUACAAUAAAACAAUUAUU